rnacentral:rRNA from 1 species
UACGGAGGGUGCAAGCAUUGAUCGGAAUUACUGGGCGUAAAGGGCGCGUAGGCGGUGAGAAAAGUCGGAUGUGAAAUUCCAGGGCUCAACCCUGGAGCUGCAUAUGAAACUCUCUCGCUAGAGUUCAGUUAGGGAAAACGGAAUUCCACGUGUAGCGGUGAAAUGCGUAGAUAUGUGGAAGAACACCGGUGGUGAAGACGGUUUUCUGGGCUGAGACUGACGCUGAGGCGCGAAAGCAUGGGGAGCAAACAGG